rnacentral:ncRNA from 1 species
GCUGUUUUGCCGCCGGGUAAAACAGCGGAGCGUCAGACUUUCUAUCAUUAGGUCUUUGAAGAUAGAAAGCUGGCGCUUUUUAUGA